UGAGUUGGUCGGACGGUCGCUGAUUAUUCAGAGGAAAGUCCGGACUUCACAGAGCAAGGUGCCAGGUAACUCCUGGGAGGCGCGAGCCUACGGAAAGUGCAGCAGAAAAUAUACCGCCAAUUUUUUGGUAAGGGUGAAAUGGUGGGGUAAGAGCCCACCGCUUAAGUGGAGACAUUUAAGGCAUUGCAAACCCCAACCUGAAGCAAAACCAAAUAGAAAUCUUAUCAGGUUGCUCGCCUGGGAUUUGGGUAGGUUGCUAGAGUAUUGUGGCAACAUAAUAUCGAGAUAGAUGACCGUUGAUUACAGAAUCCGGCUUAUAGACCAACUCUUUUA
rnacentral:RNase_P_RNA from 1 species